rnacentral:rRNA from 1 species
UGAGUACUUACGGCGGACGGGUGAGUAUGCUUAGGAAUCUGCCUAUUAGUGGGGGACAACGUUUCGAAAGGAACGCUAAUACCGCAUACGUCCUACGGGAGAAAGCAGGGGAUCAUUUGACCUUGUGCUAAUAGAUGAGCCUAAGUCGGAUUAGCUAGUUGGUGGGGUAAAGGCCUACCAAGGCGACGAUCUGUAGCGGGUCUGAGAGGAUGAUCCGCCACACUGGGACUGAGACACGGCCCAGACUCCUACGGGAGGCAGCAGUGGGGAAUAUUGGACAAUGGGCGAAAGCCUGAUCCAGCCAUGCCGCGUGUGUGAAGAAGGCCUUUUGGUUGUAAAGCACUUUAAGCGAGGAGGAGGCUUCUUUGGUUAAUACCCAAAGUAAGUGGACGUUACUCGCAGAAUAAGCACCGGCUAACUCUGUGCCAGCAGCCGCGGUAAUACAGAGGGUGCAAGCGUUAAUCGGAUUUACUGGGCGUAAAGCGUGCGUAGGCGGCUAAUUAAGUCAAAUGUGAAAUCCCCGAGCUUAACUUGGGAAUUGCAUUCGAUACUGGUUAGCUAGAGUAUGGGAGAGGAUGGUAGAAUUCCAGGUGUAGACGGUGAAAUGCGUAAGAGAUCUGGAGGAAUACCGAUGGCGAAGCAGGCCAUCUGGGCCUAAUACUGGACGCUUAGAGUACCAAAAGCCUUGGGGAAGCACACACGGAUUGAUACCCCGGGUAAUCCAUCGGCCGGAAACACAAUUUUACUUAACCC